GAUGAAUGCUGGCGGCGUGCUUAACACAUGCAAGUCGAGCGGUAAGGCCCUUCGGGGUACACGAGCGGCGGACGGCUGAGUAACGCGUGGGAACAUGCCCUAAAGUGAGGAAUAACUACACGAAAGGGUGGCUAAUGCCGCAUAUUAUCUUCGGAUUAAAGGAUUUAUCCGCUUUAGGAGUGGCCUGCGUACGAUUAGCUUGUUGGUGAGGUAAUGGCUUACCAAGGCGACGAUCGUUAGUUGGUCUGAGAGGAUGACCAGCCAGACUGGAACUGAGACACGGUCCAGACUCCUACGGGAGGCAGCAGUGAGGAAUCUUCCACAAUGGGCGAAAGCCUGAUGGAGCAACGCCGCGUGCAGGAUGAAGGCCCUCGGGUCGUAAACUGCUUUUAUGAGUGAAGAAUAUGACGGUAACUCAUGAAUAAGCACCGGCUAACUACGUGCCAGCAGCCGCCGCG
rnacentral:rRNA from 1 species